rnacentral:rRNA from 1 species
AUUGAACGCUGGCGGCAGGCUUAACACAUGCAAGUCGAGCGAGCGGCGGACGGGUGAGUAAUGUCUGGGAAACUGCCUGAUGGAGGGGGAUAACUACUGGAAACGGUAGCUAAUACAGCAUACCAUCAGAUGUGCCCAGAUGGGAUUAGCGAGUAGGGGGGGUAAUGGCUCACCUAGGCGACGAUCCCUAGCUUGCCUGAGAGGAUGACCAGCCACACGGGAACGGAGCCACGGUCCAGACUCCUACGGUAGGCGGCAGUGUGGAAUAUUGCACAAUGGACGCAAGCCUGAUGCAGCCAUGCCGCGUGUAUGAAGAAGGCCUUAGGGUUGUAAAGUACUUUCAGCGGGGAGGCGUUACCCGCAGAAGAAGCACCGGCUAACUCCGUGCCAGCAGCCGCGGUAAUUC